GAAAGCUUGUGUCUUCAUCGGACUGUUGCUUGGGGAUUAAUGCCGACCGACUUGUUGGUUGCCAAUUGGGCCGGCCCAUCUUUGUGCGCGCGGGCCAAAAACUUAGCGCCAAGCUUCCCUCCUAUUUUUUAAUUCAGCCUUUGACUAAAUCCAAAUUCCCCAUUCCCCAAACCCAAAUCCACUCACGCACUCCCUUCGCCGCCGACCGCUAGCUAUCUGGCAACCUGCACGCCACCGACCGCCCGACGUCUCCAGCAUGCCGUCACCGUGGUAGCAAGGUUGCUGCCCUGUCUCCUUCAUCCUCCUGCACUCACACUGCUUAGCCCCCAAACACUUCUAACCCUAGCUCGUGCGCUGGAGUUCAGGGAGAGGCCAAGGCGCGGUGGUGGACGCCGCCGUCCCUCUUAGAUCCGGGGCUGAGAGAGAGAGAGAGAGAGGUGGGUCACCUGCGAGAGAGAGCACUCGCACCCUCGCUCGUCACCUGGGAGCCGCCACCACAGCUGCCACGCCAUGGGCUUCCUCAGAUCUGUGCCAGCCGGUUCGUUUGAAGAGGGAUCUGGUCGUUGACUGUUGGUGCUUCCCCUCCCCCGACGAUCAGCCAUGACUUGGGCUGGGAGCUCAAGCUCAAGCAGAAUGUCAAAAACAGGGGCUCUAUCUGCUAAUGGGGUAGCCGGCAAUGCAGUCUAAGAGCUGGCUACUACUAAUGUGAUUUCUGGAUUUGAGAGGAUGAGAACUUGAGAAGAACAAGCUUGAUACUACGAUUGCAAAAAGAGUCUAUACUACAGGAGAAAUCUACUCAGUUUCUGAAUCCUGAGCAGUAGCAAGUCAGGUGCUUAAUGGUGAUCCUACCAUGCAUAUGGCAUAAGCAAGUUAGUUCUAAAAAGGUCAUUGUUAAUUCGCCCACAUCUGUCCCGCAAUUGCCAAAACUUAGUGCAGUGAGAUCAGAGGACGGUCAUCAAUUUAAUCUAAUUUGUGGCACUGAAGUAUAGAUGCUUUUCUCCGAUGCUUUUAUGGAUAUAAUAGUCAGAUGCAGUGAAUGACAUACAAGAGGACCAGGAAGUAAGCAUGCAUGAAGAUGGCAGUUUGCGUCAGCUAGGCAUUUUGUGUAAUGAAGCAAAAACAUUGUGUAUUUUAUCAUUUUGUAAACCUAUAUGGUGUCUUGUCAAUUGGGUAUUUUGUGUAAUGGAUCAACCAAUGAAUCAUUGGACAUGCAUCUAUCAUUUUGUAAACCAAUCAGGUGUCUUGGUGAUUGAAACAUAAAUGCUUCCUCCUUUUAGUUAGUUACUUUUACCUAUAAGAAUAUCCUGUGUUGCAAUGAGAUAUGCAACUUGAUUGAUAUUGUUUGGAAAGGCACAAGCCAAAUAACGGUUUGGUAUUAAUAUAUCUUGCUUGGCUAAACAAAAUGCUAUCAAACUGUUGGUCGGCAAAAGAUAACAACGUCCUAUUGUUGGUUGGGAAAUGUUUA